UACAGAGGAGCCAAGCGUUGUCCGGAUUGACUGGGCGUAAAGCGCACGCAGGCGGAUGCGCGCGUGGGGUGUGAAAUCCGGCCGCUUAACGGCCAGGCGCCAUCCCAUACGGCGCGUCUGGAGUGAUGCAGAGGUCGAUGGAAUUGCCGGUGUAGUGGUGAAAUGCGUAGAGAUCGGCAGGAACACCCAGGGGGAAACCAGUCGACUGGGCAUCUACUGACGCUGAGGUGCGAGAGCGUGGGGAGCGAACCGG
rnacentral:rRNA from 1 species